rnacentral:rRNA from 1 species
GAUGAACGCUGGCGGCGUGCCUAAUACAUGCAAGUCGAGCGAACGGACGAGAAGCUUGCUUCUCUGAUGUUAGCGACGGACGGGUGAGUAACACGUGGAUAACCGACCGAUAAGACUGAGGUAAGUUCGGGAAACCUGAUCUAAUAUCGGAUGAUAGUUUGAACGGCAUGGUUCAUAAGACAAAAACGUUUUUGCUGUCACUUGUAGGUGUAACCUCGUUGCAUUAGCUAGUUGGUAAGGUAACGGCUUACCAAGGCAACGAUGCAUAGCCGACCUGAGAGGGUGAUCGGCCACACUGGAACUGAGACACGGUCCAGACUCCUACGGGAGGCAGCAGUAGGGAAUAUUGGGCAAUGGGCGAAAGCCUGAUGGAGCCACGCCGCGUGAGUGAUGAAGGUCUUCGGAUUGUAAAACUCUGUUAUUAGGGAAGAACAUAUGUGUAAGUAAAUGUGCACAUCUUGACGGUACCUAAUCAGAAAGCAACGGCUAACUACGUG